UACGUAGGGUGCGAGCGUUGUCCGGAAUUAUUGGGCGUAAAGGGCUCGUAGGCGGUUUGUCGCGUCGGGAGUGAAAACACUGGGCUUAACCGAGUGCUUGCUUUCGAUACGGGCAGACUUGAGGCAUUCAGGGGAGAACGGAAUUCCUGGUGUAGCGGUGAAAUGCGCAGAUAUCAGGAGGAACACCGGUGGCGAAGGCAGUUCUCUGGGAAUGUUCUGACGCUGAGGAGCGAAAGUGUGGGGAGCGAACAGG
rnacentral:rRNA from 1 species